rnacentral:tRNA from 1 species
GCGCCCAUAGCUUAAUGGAUAAAGCAAGCGCGUUCUAAGCGUUAGACUGGGGGUUCGAAUCCCUCUGGGCGUA